CAAGACACGCCAACUUCACAGCACAGUUGGGCAUUCAGAUAGUUGAUGACAAAAAGAUGUUGAAUAUUAAAAAAAUCUUUUCGGGUAAUCGCUCACCACCUUCUCUGUUAAAGGUAGAAGAGAGGAGCAUACCAUGG